rnacentral:rRNA from 1 species
AACAGGAUUAGAUACCCUGGUAGUCCACGCUGUAAACGAUGUCGACUUGGAGGUUGUGCCCUUGAGGCGUGGCUUCCGGAGCUAACGCGUUAAGUCGACCGCCUGGGGAGUACGGCCGCAAGGUUAAAACUCAAAUGAAUUGACGGGGGCCCGCACAAGCGGUGGAGCAUGUGGUUUAAUUCGAUGCAACGCGAAGAACCUUACCUACUCUUGACAUCCAGAGAAUUUGCUAGAGAUAGCUUAGUGCCUUCGGGAACUCUGAGACAGGUGCUGCAUGGCUGUCGUCAGCUCGUGUUGUGAAAUGUUGGGUUAAGUCCCGCAACGAGCGCAACCCUUAUCCUUUGUUGCCAGCGAUUCGGUCGGGAACUCAAAGGAGACUGCCAGUGAUAAACUGGAGGAAGGUGGGGAUGACGUCAAGUCAUCAUGGCCCUUACGAGUAGGGCUACACACGUGCUACAAUGGCAUAUACAAAGAGAAGCGAACUCGCGAGAGCAAGCGGACCUCACAAAGUAUGUCGUAGUCCGGAUUGGAGUCUGCAACUCGACUCCAUGAAGUCGGAAUCGCUAGUAAUCGUAGAUCAGAAUGCUACGGUGAAUACGUUCCCGGGCCUUGUACACACCGCCCGUCACACCAUGGGAGUGGGUUGCAAAAGAAGUAGGUAGCUUAACCUUCGGGAGGGCGCUUACCACUUUGUGAUUCAUGACUGGGGUGGAGUCGUAACAAGGUAACC